AGCUAGGUCUAACAUUGUUAGGUCGUCAGCUUCUUAGAGGGACUAUCGGUGUUUAACCGAUGGAAGUUUGAGGCAAUAACAGGUCUGUGAUGCCCUUAGAUGUUCUGGGCCGCACGCGCGCUACACUGAUGAAGUCAACGAGUAAAUUUCCUUUGUCGAAAGAUAUGGGUAAUCUUCUGAAACUUCAUCGUGAUGGGGAUAGAGCAUUGCAAUUAUUGCUCUUCAACGAGGAAUCCCUAGUAAGCACAAGUCAUCAGCUUGUGUUGAUUACGUCCCUGCCCUUUGUACACACCGCCCGUCGCUACUACCGAUUGAAUGGCUUAGUGAGACCUUCGGAUCGGCAUUCAGAAGUUGGAAACAACAUUUGUUUGCUGAAAAGUUGUUCAAACUUGGUCAUUUAGAGGAAGUAAAAGUCGUAACAAGGUUUCCGUAGGUGAACCUGCGGAAGGAUCAUUAAUGAUUUUUUAAAGCAAACCAAAGCGAAAGCGAAGGUUUUGCGAAUAUAUUUAAAACCCCCACACUUAAAAAAAAAUUUUUUCAUUCAUAAAUAUGAAUAAAAAAGAUCACUUUCAACAACGGAUCUCUUGGCUCUCGCAUCGAUGAAGAACGCAGCGAGAUGCGAUAAGUAGUGUGAAUUGCAGAAUUACGUGAAUCAUCGAAUCUUUGAACGCAAAUUGCACUCUCUGGUAUUCCGGGGAGUAUGCCUGUUUGAGGGUCAUAGUAAACCCAUCGAUUUUCAUUGCUUUUUUUUUAAGGUGAUGUUUUAUCGGAUUUGAGCCGUCUUUUUUUUUUUUAAAAAUAUUAAAGUGGCUUAAAAUUGAUUUUAUCUGGUAUGAUUAAGCGUAUUUUAUGAUCAAUUUUUGAUUUAAGAAACGCGUACGUACCAUCACAUGAUGUAAUACGUUUGACUAUUUGAUUUAGUUCAUUCGUAUACGAUUUUUUUUAAUGUUUGACCUCAAAUCAGGUAAGAAUACCCGCUGAACUUAAGCAUAUCAA
rnacentral:rRNA from 1 species